rnacentral:lncRNA from 1 species
CACUGCUAUAAUAAAGUAGCUGCAGCUCUAUAACAAUACUUGCGGCUAUAUUAAGUGGUAUUAGAGUAAGUUAUGAUCCAAAAACUUUCAUUCAGAUGCAUUAUUAGAACCAUAUAUCAAUACACUCAUAUUGCAUGAGCUUGUCUCACCUGUACUUCAUUGUUGUCUAGAAAGAUUGAAAAAAAAGAUGUUGAAAAUCCAUC